rnacentral:rRNA from 1 species
GCGGAAUAGCCACUGGAAACGGUGAGUAAUACCGCAUACGCCCUUCGGGGGAAAGAUUUAUCGGAGAAGGAUCGGCCCGCGUUAGAUUAGAUAGUUGGUGGGGUAACGGCCUACCAAGUCUACGAUCUAUAGCUGGUUUUAGAGGAUGAUCAGCAACACUGGGACUGAGACACGGCCCAGACUCCUACGGGAGGCAGCAGUGGGGAAUCUUAGACAAUGGGCGCAAGCCUGAUCUAGCCAUGCCGCGUGUGUGAUGAAGGUCUUAGGAUCGUAAAGCACUUUCGCCAGGGAUGAUAAUGACAGUACCUGGUAAAGAAACCCCGGCUAACUCCGUGCCAGCAGCCGCGGUAAUACGGAGGGGGUUAGCGUUGUUCGGAAUUACUGGGCGUAAAGCGCGCGUAGGCGGAUUGGAAAGUUGGGGGUGAAAUCCCGGGGCUCAACCCCGGAACUGCCUCCAAAACUAUCAGUCUAGAGUUCGAGAGAGGUGAGUGGAAUUCCAAGUGUAGAGGUGAAAUUCGUAGAUAUUUGGAGGAA